UCCCUAUGAUUCACUCUCUAAUUUGCAUUGGUCAGUAAAAGAUCCUCCUCUAUAAGCGGAGCAGGUUGCUUUGCUUUGUAUCCGAUCUAAUUUGUGCUUUACUUCUUUUUGGGCUGUACUGAUUCUCCAUAUGCUCCACUUGAGAGAGCAAGAGAAGGUUACUCUACUCCAUUAUCUACUAAUUCCAGCAAUCAAGGUCAAUACAUGUUACAUCAAUCAGGGUCAGUAAUCAGUACUACUAAUUUCAGAGAAGACCUGUAUAGCAGUACUACUCCAUCGGCAAGCGUUCGGUGCUAGAUUUCUUUCACGCCUAUGUGGUGUUGUGCCAUGGUCGCUCUCCCUCCUCCAGGGACUCAGCCAAGUCCGGCCUGGCCAUGCCUCCGUCCUCCCGCCUUGCCGGUUGCGUGUGUGUGCUGUAUGUGCUUGACGCUGCAUGCUUGUUGGCUUGUCACUGGGUGCUUGUCGCUGCUGGCCUGCUGCAGCUGCUGCUGCUUUGCUGUAUAUAUUUGUAUAAUGCUUGCAUCUUGUAUGCAGCUAUGCUUUGUUUUAUACUGACAUUGUUGUUGCUGCUGCUGACCUGUUGAUGUUGUUGCUUACUGCCGCUGUCCUCCUGAUGUUGUUGCUGUGCUGGCCAAGGAGUGAGUCCAGAGAUACACAACAUUCAAUUAUGAGGAUAUAGGAAAUUAAUGGUCAUUCAGUCAUUGAUGAUAUAAAAAGAGGCAUGAAGGCAACGAAAGGGGCAGUAUUUUGAUCUCAUGUCAUCUCGCACAUAGAUUAUUUGUUCUUCUUUACGUACCAUUUUAUUAAUUAUUUAUAUAUACCCACCAUACCGCCGUAUUAUUGUUUCUUGAAAUUACCGUAUCCCCAUUUCCUUAUCGCCGUAUCCGUAACGCCGGUGCUUCAUAGCUAUGAAGCAUGAGUCUACAAUGAUCUAUUUUCAUGUUCUAUCAAGAAGUUCUGUUUGCAAUUUUCUUAUAUAAGUUUCAUUUAUGACAAUAAUGAUCGAUCCAUGUUCAUAGCUAUGUACGUGUUUCACUGGUAUUACCAUUGUUCAUAGUGUAAGCAUAUUAAACAGUUAUAUGCUUAUUGCACUACAAAGUGUAAACUAUUUAUUAUGUUCCAUCAUUUGACAGAGCAAUGCUAAAGUUCUAAAGUAUCAAGUGAUUGAAUACACUGAAAAUGAUUACAUAUGCAAGCUUUGCAAAGUAGAGAACCUCUUUUUUAGCCUCCACCAAUUUAUUGUUGUCCUUGUGUUGCUUGGAUAAAAUGAAAUGCAUACUAUACUUGCCCUAAAUGCUGUGUUUGGGAGAUCGAGCAUGGCUUACGUAUGCCUUUGCCACAAAAUUCUGUUCUUGGGGCUAAAGAUCUGCCAAGGGCCAUGCAUAGCGAUCAUAUAGAAGAACAACUCUUUAAACGGCUCAAUGAAGAGAGACACGAACGGGCUAUUCAUGAUGGGAAAAGUUUUGAUGAGAUCCUUGUUUCAUGCACGUGCACUUUUUUUGGGGAAUCGGGAGCUUUUCCGGACUGAAUAAGUAGAGUUAUAGUCAAGCUGAAGGCUGAAAACGAAGCCAUAAUUCAUAUUUAUCCAAGCACACCUUUGCCGCUCAGGCGAAUCGUUUUUUGCACACAGGUGAGCAGCAACAUUAGCUGGUCUGUGCACAAGCCUAAAUUGAAAACUAGAAUAAACUCUACUUAGUUGGUUCACUUCCUUCAGGAUGGGGGCAAUCACUGAUCUGUCUUGAGCAUCACUGGACCAAAAUAUAUGUACCACCUAGCAACAGAUUGCUGGUACAAAUAUAUGUACAUACAUUUGGGUGUAUAGCUGGUUGAUGUAUUGUUUUAAUGAGGGUUUGGUUUACGAGUGUGUGCAGUCUGUAUAAGACUAGGAGUAUUGGAUGGUUUUGAGUCGGCACUCGGCAGUAUGUAUUUUGAAUGAAGUUUGUGGUAUGUAUAGGGGUGAUAGAUUGGAUAGGAACUUCUGCUCUAAUUACUAUGGUUGUGGUGAAAUCAUGUUUUGCUUGAAUUAUACUCCCUCCGUUCCUAAAUAUAAGUCUUUCUAGGGAUUCCAAGAAGGGACUACAUAUGGAGCAAAAUGAGUGAAUUUACACUCUAAAACAUGUCUACAUACAUCCGUAUGUAGUUUAUAGUAGAAUCUCUAAAAAGACUUAUAUUUAGGAACGGAGGGAGUAUAUUUGGAACUGAUCUUAAUUUACUAGAUAAAUCAAUUCCGAAAUCCAAUAAACUUCUAUAAUUUCUAUAAUUUCCAAGAAUAGGAGUAUUGCUGGUUAAUCAAUUGAUUUACAUUAAUAUCUUAAAAGGGGACCGCACGCAUGUCCUGAUGCUAAAUCUUUUUAGAAAGGAAGGGUUUAUGUAAUUUUGGUAGGAUAAAAAAUGUAACCUUAGUAUUACCUAGAGCUAGGAUAUUUGAGUAGAUUAUUUUAAUUUUUGUGCUCAUAUGUGAGAUCAUGAUAAAAUUUGGAAUAUCAUGUUGCUAUAACGGAAUCAGUCGGGAUCGUGAAGUCUGCACCAGAAUGUUGACCACCCUUUUUUGUUUUUUAAGUUAAGGAAUUUACAACAAGUCUCUUGCAAAAAUAACUGUCCUAUCCCUUUCUACAAUCUCUCUAUAUCUUUGUUAGAUAAGGUAAGUAUUGCAUAAUAGUUCGGUUUUCCGUGAUUUUUUUCAUUCCUCUGUGUAAUAGCCUAAUAUGGGUUCACAAUCAAUAACAUGCUCACCAUCGAGAGUAACGAUCAGUCGAUAUGUACUCCUAAUUCUCUCUCUUAUAAACGUGAAGUCCAAAUGCCUACUGGCUGCUUUCAGGUGACUGGAAUUUUGAGCCUUCAGCUUGUCGAUAUGUGCUUGAGAAGUAGGUAAGAUGGAGCUAAGGCUGAGAUGGAGGCGACACUGCCUGCCGCAACGAUUCCAAGAUGCUGAGCUAGGACCUGGACGGAGGCGGGGACGACACUACUUGUGGUGGCGUCUCCAAGAUGAAGAUCUAGGACCUGGAUGGAGGCAGGGACGACGCAACUUGUCCCAGCGUCGUCAGCGGAGGACAUGCAGCGGGUUGUGGGGUUUGGGUGGAGGUGGGUUAGAGGGAUGACCGGUGGCAGCAACGGCAACUCGGGUAGACCAGGGCGGCGAGGCUGCAGUGCGGGCGUUCGUGUGCCAGGAAGAAGGUUACAGUCCGUUGGAUGCAUAAUAUGGGAGGGCGGAGGAAAAACUGACUGA